rnacentral:rRNA from 1 species
GUAGGUGGCGAGCGUUAUCCGGAUUUACUGGGCGUAAAGCGCGUGCAGGCGGUUCCGUAAGUCGGACGUGAAAGCUCCUGGCCUAACUGGGAGAGGCCGUUCGAUACUGCGGGACUUGAGGUCGGGAGAGGGACGUGGAAUUUCCGGUGUAGUGGUGGAAUGCGUAGAUAUCGGAAGGAACACCAGUGGCGAAGGCGGCGUCCUGGCCCGCACCUGACGCUAAGACGCGAAAGCGUGGGUAGCGAACGGGAUUAGAUACCCCGGGUAGUCCACGCCGUAAACGGUGGAUACUAGGUGUUGGUGAUUAACGUCAUCAGUGCCGUAGCUAACGCGUUAAGUAUCCCGCCUGGGGACUACGGCCGCAAGGCUA